rnacentral:lncRNA from 1 species
AUAAAAUCUUUUAUAUUUAAGAAGGUUUGUACAUAAAGCUUUCUAAAAUAUCUAGGAAUUUUCUAACAUUCUUAAUUAUAUCAAAUCAUAACUAAUUAUUUGCUCAUAAGUUAGAUUUUCAAUAAUUCCAAAAAGAAUCUAUAAUCUCCUCUCAAAAACUCAUCUUUAUAUCAAAAUUUAACUAUAGCUCCAUAUAUCCAUCUUCAACAUAUACGUAAAGUCUUGACUUCAAAAAAAACAUCUCUACUUUGUAUAAAAUACUUAAUUUAUAAUAAAAUCCCUUCAAAUUAUAUUUUUCUCGCAAAGGUUUUCUUCUUUCUAAAUUUUAGAAAUUCAUAUCUCUUGAUCCAUCUGUUUAAUUUUUGUCAAACUUAUAAAUAAUAUAGAAUUUAUUCUUAAGCAUUACUAAAAAAAAUUCAACCAUAAAUUUUCUACUAAUUGUCUGACAUCUUAAAAAUCCUAGCAAGUGCUUCAAAUCUU